GACGAGGGAUCCUAGCGUUGUUCGGAAUUAUUGGGCGUAAAGCGUGUGUAGGUGGCCAUGCAAGUCAGUUGUGAAAGCCCCGGGCUCAACCCGGGAAGUGCUUCUGAUACUGCGUGGCUUGAGUACUGGAGAGGAUAGUAGAAUUCCAGGUGUAGUGGUGAAAUACGUAGAUAUCUGGAGGAAUACCGGUGGCGAAGGCGGCUAUCUGGCCAAGUACUGACACUGAGACACGAAAGCGUGGGGAGCAAACAGG
rnacentral:rRNA from 1 species